rnacentral:lncRNA from 1 species
GUAGCAAAAGAAACAUUGAAAUAUGUAAAAACUUCUGGGUUAUAAUAAUAUAAAACCCUAGCUAGUAGUAUAUAAGGGGCAGGGUGUAUACAUAUAACCCUCCUUAGUUGAAAAAGCUCCCACAGCAUAGAAAUCUUAAUUACUUCUCAAUAUAUACAAUUGCAUGCCAUCAGAAAUAAUACAUAAAACAUGCAAUUAUAUAUAUAUACACAAAGGUAGAGAAAUAAGUGCAAUAUAUAUUAAUUCUUGCUAUGGAUAAUGACCAAGUCUAAGCUCCAAAUCCAAUUCACCCACUUCAUUGUUGUUUUCUAUCUUGUCUUUAUUUAAUGGAUUUGUAUACAAGCUCAAACCCCUCCAAUCUUGUCCAAACAUCCUUUGAUUUUCAACACACAACAUCUCACUAUAUUGAACAUGUGAAGGAAAAUAUAUUUGAUGAUAAUUAAGAGAAUCUACCUCAGGAGUAGUUGUUGUGGAUGAAAUUGAAGAAUAAUAACCCCCUCUUGCAAGAUGACUUGGAUUAAUUGUUGAAUAAAAUCCAAGAUCUCCAUAGUUAUCAUGAUCAACUACUAAUUUGCUUGAACUAGGAGGAGCAAAAUUGGUUUUAGUGGCACUUUUGUUGUUAUUUGCUCUAUCUUUUCUAUGAAUGUUCAUGUGUCCACCUAAAGCUUGAGCAGUUGUGAAACCUCUUUUGCAAAACACACACUCAUAGGAUCUACCAAUUCCCAUGUGAUGAUCAUGAUCAUCAUCGUUGUUUUGGUCAGAUGAUCGAUCGAUGUUUUCAUCGCUCGAGCUCUUUGAAUCAUCUUGAAGGUAGCUGAAUUCCAUGGUGAAUUAGUUAUCAAAACCUAGGUUGUUUUUGUUGAAAUUUAAUUCUAUGAGAAGAUAAAAGAAAGUAGUAUGAGAGGGAAGAGUAAUAUAGAAAGAAGAAAGUGGAGAAGGUUUGAGGAAGAGACAAAUGAAGGGCAUAGGCAUUACCUAAAGAUGUAUGGUCAAGUGAAUGUGUGGUGUAAAGUGGAAAAGUCUUAGAAGUUUGCUUACAGAUUUAUUCUGUUAGCCGGCUUUGGAUUCAUCUCUAUAGCAAGACAUAUUGAGUUUUUUAAUUUUUUAUUUUUGUGGGGUUAAUAUUUUAUUAUCUUGAUGAUUAAUUUUUUAUAUUAAAUGUGAUUUAUUUGUCUC